UACAGAGGGGGCUAGCGUUAUUCGGAAUUAUUGGGCGUAAAGGGCGCGUAGGCGGCCAUGCGUGUCUUCCGUGAAAUCCCUCGGCUUAACUGAGGACGUGCGGAAGAAACUGCAAGGCUCGAGUCCGGGAGAGGGGGGUGGAAUUCCCAGUGUAGCGGUGAAAUGCGUAGAUAUCCGGAGGAACACCGGUGGCGAAGGCGGCUUCCUGGACCGACACUGACGCUGAGGCGCGAAAGCUAGGGGAGCAAACGGG
rnacentral:rRNA from 1 species